GGGGUUGUAGCUCAGUGGUUGAGCGCUUGCCUUGCACGCAUGAGGCCCUGGAUUUGGUCCCCAGCACCA
rnacentral:tRNA from 1 species